UCGGGAAUUUUGGGCAAUGGGCGAAAGCCUGACCCAGCAACGCCGCGUGAAGGAUGAAGUAUUUCGGUAUGUAAACUUCGAAAGAAUAGGAAGAAUAAAUGACGGUACUAUUUAUAAGGUCCGGCUAACUACGUGCCAGCAGCCGCGGUAAUACGUAGGGACCAAGCGUUGUUCGGAUUUACUGGGCGUAAAGGGCGCGUAGGCGGCAAUUCAAGUCAUCUGUGAAAUCUCCGGGCUUAACUCGGAACGGUCAGAUGAUACUGCUUUGCUAGAGUGCAGAAGGGGCAAUCGGAAUUCUUGGUGUAGCGGUGAAAUGCGUAGAUAUCAAGAGGAACACCUGAGGCGAAGGCGGGUUGCUAGGCUGAUACUGACGCUGAGGCGCGAAAGCUAGGGUAGCAAACGGGAUUAGAUACCCACGUAGUCCCUGAGCGGGCUGGCAAGGCGCAU
rnacentral:rRNA from 1 species